rnacentral:rRNA from 1 species
UACGGGGGGGGCAAGCGUUGUUCGGAAUUACUGGGCGUAAAGGGCGCGUAGGUGGCCAACUAAGUCAGACGUGAAAUCCCUCGGCUUAACCGGGGAACUGCGUCUGAUACUGGAUGGCUUGAGUUUGGGAGAGGGACGCGGAAUUCCAGGUGUAGCGGUGAAAUGCGUAGAUAUCUGGAGGAACAUCAGUUGCGAAGGCGGCUCUCUGGACCAGCACUGACACUGAGGCGCGAAAGCUAGGGGAGCAAACGGG